UUGGGGAUUUAUAUAAAAGGUUGGGCCUGCCCGGUGAUCUGAAAUGGUUUAACGGCUGCGAUUGAAACCGUACUAAGGUAGCAUAAUAAUUUGCCCUUUAAUUGGGGGAGAGAAUGAAUGGUUUGACGGUAAAAAAGCUGUUUUAAAAAUAAAAAAAGAAGUUAACUUUUAAGUGAAAAGGCUUAAGUUUUUAUAAAAGACGAGAAGACCCCGUCGAGCUUAAUUAGAAUAACUUAAAUGUAGGUUAUUUAAAAUUUUAUUGGGGCAAUAGAAAAUGAAAUGAAUCAUUUUUUUUAUUAUAAGGAUCCAGUUUUGACUGAAAAAAGCAAAAGCUACCGCGGGGAUAACAGGGUAAUUUUUUCUGAGAGUUCAUAUUUAAGAAAAAGUUUGCUACCUCGAUGUUGGAUUAGAAUUUCUUUAUGCUUGCAGCAGGUAUAAUAGU
rnacentral:rRNA from 1 species